GAACGCACAUUGCGCCCCUCGGUAUUCCGGGGGGCAUGCCUGUUCGAGCGUCAUUACACCCCUCAAGCGUAGCUUGGUAUUGGGUCCUCGCCCCCCGGGGCGUGCCCGAAAAGCAGUGGCGGCUCGGUGUGACUUUAAGCGUAGUAAAUUUUCAUCCCGCUUUGAAAGUUCGCCCCGUGGCUUGCCAGACAACCCCAUUUAUUUCAAUGAUUGACCUCGGAUCAGGUAGGGAUACCCGCUGAACUUAAG
rnacentral:misc_RNA from 1 species